UUUCCGUAGGUGAACCUGCGGAAGGAUCAUUAAUGAAUUUAUUGAAUUGGGUUGUAGCUGGCUCUCUCUGGUGGCAUGUGCACACUCUAUUCAUCUAUUUCUAUAUACACCUGUGCACCUUUUGUGGGUCGGUCAUAUGAGGGAAAGUUGAAAGGCUUUUGUUCUAGACCUUCCUACGUUUUUAUUAUAAACCCAAGCAUGUCUUUGAAUGUCUUUGCAUUAAUGAUGCAUUUUAAUACAACUUUCAGCAACGGAUCUCUUGGCUCUC
rnacentral:misc_RNA from 1 species